AUCAACAUAGCAAAUAGCUAAGUGCAUCAGGUUUAAAACCUGAAGGAGGGGAUAAACCCUGUUGAUU
rnacentral:tRNA from 1 species